GAAGAUAAGAUCCGCCACGGCUAGAUUCAUGAUGUACAAAUCGUUUACGGUCCGACGCGAAUGCUUUCCGUAGACGACGAUUAAAACGAGAGCGUUCCCUAGUAAGCCGACAAGAAACUUAAAUUCUGCGAAAACAAACGCCAAUACCCCGAAGCAGACACAACAUAGAACGACAGGUUUAGAACGACAGGUUCGAAAAGCCGGAUUCAAGUGACGGAAGUUUUAGAGUUCUAUGGCGAGUGUAUUUGCCUAGAUGUUGGCUGUGUCCCUUGCAAAGUGAUUAAAGUAAUAUAUCUGCAGAAAUAAAGAUAAGUAUUGAUAUAACGUGUUAUUGGAGCGUGUUUGAAGUUGAAGUAGCAAGUCAAUAUCAAACGCGCCAUUCGGUACACAUAGCAUCUGAUUGCUUUAUGCUGGGUGUGACAAGACCCCGAUCCUUGACGCUCAGAACCACAUUUACUAUAACUAUGACAUAAACAAGUUUCUGUAGUCAAAGGCAUAUUUUUUUUCUGUUAUGUCUUCCGCCUAUGUGGAUAACUUUCCUGUGUGCGAACCGACAAAACAUAAACACGAAUAUAAGAACGUACGCAAAUUGCUCGCGGUUCAUCGACUUCAGCUUUUGCUUUUAUCUCGCCGGUUCACACACAAUAUUAUUCUGAUUUUUGUUUCUUCUCAUAAUAUAGUGUGAACUGGACCUAACCAAGAACACAGUUAUCCAGACAUGCAACCGAUAUAUACGGGGAGUUUGCCGCAAUCUCUGCAAACUGCUGCUAGAGGAGAAAACUGCUUAUGAUCAGUACAUUCAGCUGAAUAAAUAAACUCCUUCCGAAGGCUGCGGAAGGACGUUUGUCGAUAAUUGAUGAAUAAACAUCCGGCGUCAAAAUUUUUACUCCACUAAAAAGAAUGACUUACGAUGGACAGUCCCAGUCACCAGAACGAUCUCCACCUCCUCCGCCGCCGCCACCACCACCUCCUCUGCCGCCACCACCUCUGCUACCACGGAAACCACCACGUUCAAAGCCACCACGCCCUGGGAAAAUACAUAAUAUAAUAUAGAAAAUAUCAUACUUUGUAUCUAGCGAUAGACACUAGGUGUCCACACCAGCAUGUGUCACGACACUAGUAAGUAUACAUAAUCAAAUGGUUGCGGAUUCAAUUUGGAAAUAAUAUGCACAAGAGAGUUUCUCAAUAUGCAUGAGAAUCGCCAAUGCAAUUUGAGCUUUUGAAAAACUCACGUGUGGAAAUUAAUUUUAAAUUGGACAAAUGAACAAUUGACACUGUACAAUAGCCUUUUUGACAAUAUACAUGGCAAAAUUAAAAAACUAUAGACACGCCAAACAAA